AUUGAACGCUAGCGGGAUGCCUUACACAUGCAAGUCGAACGGAGUGGCGAACGGGUGCGUAAUGUAUCGGAACGAGCCCAGUAGCGGGGGAUAACUACGCGAAAGCGUAGCUAAUACCGCAUACUAUUGGCGCGGCCGAUACUGGCUUAGAUAGUUGGGGGGGGAACGGCUCACCAAGGCGACGAUCCGUAGCCGGUUUGAGAGGACGACCAGCCACACUGGGACUGAGACACGGCCCAGGCUCCUACGGGAGGCGGCAGGGGGGAAUUGUGGACAAUGGGGGAAACCCUGAUCCAGCCAUCCCGCGUGUGCGAUGAAGGCCUUGGGGUUGUAAAGCACUGUUGGCAGGAAGUCGGUACCUGCAGAAUAAGCACCGGCUAACUACGUGCCAGCCGCCGCGGUAAUAC
rnacentral:rRNA from 1 species